UACGUAGGGGGCAAGCGUUGUCCGGAUUCAUUGGGCGUAAAGAGCGUGUAGGCGGCCAGGUAGGUCGGUUGUGAAAACUGGAGGCUCAACCUUCAGAGGUCGACCGAAACCAUCUGGCUAGAGUCCGGGAGAGGAGAGUGGGAAUUCCUGGUGUAGCGGUGAAAUGCGCAGAUAUCAGGAAGAACACCCGUGGCGAAAGCGGCUCUCUGGAACGGUACUGACGCUGAGACGCGAAAGCGUGGGGGAGCGAACAGG
rnacentral:rRNA from 1 species